rnacentral:rRNA from 1 species
GCGUUAGCCUGAUGCAGCAACGCCGCGUGAGGGAUGACGGCCUUCGGGUUGUAAACCGCUUUAGCCUGUGACGAAGCGUGAGUGACGGUAAUGGGUAAAGAAGCACCGGCUAACUACGUGCCAGCAGCCGCGGUGAUACGUAGGGUGCGAGCGUUGUCCGGAUUUAUUGGGCGUAAAAGGCUCGUAGGUGGUUGAUCGCGUCGGAAGUGUAAUCUUGGGGCUUAACCCUGAGCGUGCUUUCGAUACGGGUUGACUUGAGGAAGGUAGGGGAAACUGGAAUU